rnacentral:rRNA from 1 species
UUGAGAGUUUGAUCCUGGCUCAGAACGAACGCUAGCGGCAGGCCUAACACAUGCAAGUCGAACGAACUAAAACUUAGCUUGCUAAAUUUUAGUUAGUGGCAGACGGGUGAGUAACACAUGAGAAUCUACCUGAUAGUAAGGAAUAACUACCAGAAAUGGUGGCUAAUACCUUAUAUACCCUGAGGGGGAAAGAUUUAUCGCUAUCAGAUGAGCUUGUGCUAGAUUAGCUUGUUGGUAGGGUAAUUGCCUACCAAGGCGAUGAUCUAUAGCUGGUCUGAGAGGACGGACAGCCACAUUGGAACUGAGAUACGGUCUAGACUCCUACGGGAGGCAGCAGUGGGGAAUAUUGGACAAUGAGCGAAAGCUUGAUCCAGCUAUGCCGCGUGAGUGAAGAAGGCUCUAGGGUUGUAAAACUCUUUCAGUGGGAAAGAUAAUGACGGUACCCACAGAAGAAGUCCUGGCUAACUCCGUGCCAGCAGCCGCGGUAAUACGGAGAGGGCUAGCGUUGUUCGGAAUUACUGGGCGUAAAGGGUGCGUAGGCAGCUUGGUAAGUUAAGAGUGAAAUCCCAAGGCUCAACCAUGGAAUUACUCUUAAAACUAUCAAGAUAGAGUGCGAGAGGAGAUAGUGGAAUUCCUAGUGUAGGGGUGAAAUCCAUAGAUAUUAGGAAGAACACCAGUAGCGAAGGCGGCUAUCUGGCUCGAUACUGACGCUAAGGCACGAAAGCGUGGGGAGCAAACAGGAUUAGAUACCCUGGUAGUCCACGCCGUAAACGAUGAGUGCUAGAUGUUAGGUUGUUCAACUUGGUGUCGUAGCUAACGCGUUAAGCACUCCGCCUGGGGAGUACGGUCGCAAGAUUAAAACUCAAAGGAAUUGACGGGGACCUGCACAAGCGGUGGAGUAUGUUAUUUAAUUCGAUGCAACGCGAAAAACCUUACCACCCCUUGACAUGGGAGCAGUGCUCUCUUGAGAAAGAGAGGUCAGUUCGGCUGGGCUCCACACAGGUGUUGCAUGGCUGUCGUCAGCUCGUGUCGUGAGAUGUUAGGUUAAGUCCUGUAACGAGCGCAACCCUUAUCCUUAUUUACUAACAGAUUAUGCUGAGCUCUAUAAGGAAACUGCCAGUGGUAAGCUGGAGGAAGGUGAGGAUGACGUCAAGUCAUCAUGGCCCUUAUGGGGUGGGCUAUAAACGUACUACAAUAGCAAUGAUAAUGGGCUGCAAAGCUGUAAAGUUAAGCCAAUCCCUAAAAAUUGCUCUAGUUCAGAUUGCUCUCUGCAACUCGAGAGCAUGAAGUCGGAAUCGCUAGUAAUCGCGGAUCAGCAUGCCGCGGUGAAUACGUUCUCAGGUCUUGUACACACUGCCCGUCACACCAUGGGAAUUGACUUAGCUCGAAAACAGUGCGCUAACCUUCGGGAGGUAACUGUUUAAGGUAAAGUUAGUGACUGGGGUGAAGUCGUAACAAGGUAGCAGUAGGGGAACCUGCGGCUGGAUUACCUCCUU